rnacentral:rRNA from 1 species
AAUAGUCCGGACCGCGGUUAACGUAGAGUUUGAUCCUGGCUCAGGACGAACGCUGGCGGCGUGCUUAACACAUGCAAGUCGAGCGAUGAAGCACCUUCGGGUGUGGAUUAGCGGCGAACGGGUGAGGAACACGUGAGGAAUCUGCCUUCCACUCUGGGAUAACUCCGGGAAACCGGGGCUAAUACCGGAUACUUUCAACUGGCGGCAUCGCCGGUUGAAGAAAGUUUUUCGGUGGAAGAUGACCUCGCGGCCUAUCAGCUUGUUGGUGAGGUAAAGGCUCACCAAGGCGACGACGGGUAGCCGGCCUGAGAGGGCGACCGGCCACACCGGGACUGAGACACGGCCCAGACUCCUACGGGAGGCAGCAGUGGGGAAUAUUGGGCAAUGGAGGAAACUCUGACCCAGCGACGCCGCGUGAGGGAUGAAGGCCUUCGGGUUGUAAACCUCUUUCAGCAGGGAAUAAGCGAAAGUGAAGGUACCUGCAGAAGAAGCACCGGCUAACUAUGUGCCAGCAGCCGCGGUAAUACAUAGGGUGCAAGCGUUGUCCGGAAUUAUUGGGCGUAAAGAGCUCGUAGGUGGUCGAUCACGUCGGAUGUGAAAUUCUGAGGCUUAACCUCGGACCUGCAUUCGAUACGGGUUGACUAGAGUGUGGUAGGGGAGACUGGAAUUCCUGGUGUAGCGGUGGAAUGCGCAGAUAUCAGGAGGAACACCGAUGGCGAAGGCAGGUCUCUGGGCCAUUACUGACACUGAGGAGCGAAAGCGUGGGGAGCGAACAGGAUUAGGUACCCUGGUAGUCCACGCCGUAAACGGUGGGCGCUAGUUGUGGGAACCUUCCACGGUUUCUGCGACGCAGCUAACGCAUUAAAGCGCCCCGCCUGGGGAGUACGGUCGCAAGACUAAAACUCAAAGAAAUUGACGGGGCCCCGCACAAGCAGCGGAGCAUGCGGCUUAAUUCGACGCAACGCGAGAACCUUACCAAGCUUGACAUAUUACAGGAUAACGGCAGAGAAUGUCGUAGCCGCAAGGUCUGUAAUACAGGUGGUGCAUGGUGUCGUCACUCGUGUCGUGAGAAUGUUGGUUAAGUUCCCGCACGAGCGCAACCCUCGUCUGUGUUACCAGCAUUAUGGGACUCACAGGAACCUGCCGGGGUUCAACUCGGGAAGGAAGGGUUGGAGAAUGACGUCUCAU